AGCCGAGCGCUGGGGCGUAGGGGACCGCGGCUUGGAACUCGGGACGGCUGCAAGCCUGCUCAGGCCGCCUGCCUUCCUCCAUCGCCUUCUUUCGCUGUGCGCGGACCACACGGUGGGACUGUAGCGGCGAAAGCGACUGAGGUCUGGGCGCAGUUAUCUGUAACCUCCUGGCGACCCUGACAAGCAGACGCGUUAUUACAAGAUACUGAAUAUAGUUCCCUGCUCUAUACAGGGAACACAAGUAAGAAUGGAGGGUGCUCUUCCCCCCGCCCCACCCCGAAGGUAACAAAGGAUCAAGACUUUCUCCGUGAAAUAGCUGCAGGAUGUAAACUGAGGCUGCUGGCAUUUCCCUUAGAGUUUUACUGGAAGGACAUUGCACAGGAGGGAAUAGAAGGGAGACCAGCCUCAUUGGAAAAGGAUGUUCUCUGCACAUUACCUUCAGGGCUCAGCUCAAGAACCACCUCCUCCAAGUUGUCUUCCUGGAUUUACUCAGCCUAAAGUAAUCCUUCUUUUUCUUAGAUAAAUACUGAGCAUAUGCUUUGCGUCCGAUAUUGUUAUAGAUGCUGACGCUUCAUCUGCGAGCAAGACCGACCAAGUCUCUGACCUCAUGGAGCUUAUUUCAUAUGUGGGCAACAGAUAAUAAACUGAACUGUGAACACCAAACCAGCUCUCCAGCCUGACAGACAGCGCUUGUUCUAUCUAAGGAAAGGGGACAGGACGGGCGGCGCUCACCUGUUUGACAGGGGCGACUACAUCUCUUCACGGGAAUUCUCGGAUCCUUGAAACAACACUUUCAGGGCUCAGCAGAAUGGACAUAGAAACAGCAGUGGUCGAUGAUUGCAUUGAUCCAAAUUUGGAAGUUGUGUGGCAGUUGUGGAGAGCAGAAGUUUAAAAUUAGCCAUCUGGGGACUUCCCUGGUGGCGCAGUGGUUAAGAAUCCGCCUGCCGAUGCAGGGGACAGAGGUUCGAGCCCUGGUCCGGGAAGAUCCCGCAUGCCGCGGAGCAACUAAGCCCGUGCACCGCAACUACUGAGCCUGUGCUCUAGAGCCUGCGAUCCACAACUACUGAAGCCCGCACACAUGGAGCCCGUGUUCCGCAACAAGAGAAGCUACCGCAAUGAGAAGCCCGUGCACCGCAGUGAAGAGUAGCCCCCGCUCAACGCCAUUAGAGAAAGCCCGCGCGCAGCAACGAAGACCCAACGCAGCCAUAAAUAAAUAAAUUUAUUUAUUUUAAAAAAAAUCAGCCAUAUUUUAGCUUCCAGAAGCCACCUGCAUUCCUUGGCUCCUGGCCCCUUCCUCCAUCUUCAAAGCCAGCACAUAGCAUCUUCAAACCUCUCUCUCACUGUCUGACCUCUCCUUCACAUUGCCUUCUCUAACUCUGACCCUCCUGUCUCUCUCUUAUAUGGACUCUGUAAUUAGAAUAGGCCCACCUGGAUAAUCCACGAUAAUGUCCCCCUCUUAAAUCCUUAACUUAAUCGCACCUGCAAAGUCCCUUUUACCAUGUAAGGUAACAUUUCCACAGAUCCCAGGGAUUAGGAUGUGGACAUCUUUGGGGAAUCAUGAUUCAGCCUACCACAACAGGCAUUGUUCUCCAGUGGCAUCUUGUUUUCCUUGAGGACCAGUGCUGCAGAGAGUAUGCCACACACUGAUAUGCCAAGGUUUUACGCAAAGGAAGGAGAAUAUUUUAAAAUCUUAUUUUCUGCCUCCACCCUGUCUGGAAAUACCAAACUUUGGUUGUUCUGACUCCUCAAAAUAUGGUCCUGUGAGUACAGUGGCACAGGAGUAUCUUAUAGGCAAGACAGAUCCACAGCUGACUCAGUGUCCUAUCAAGAGUGUUUGCCCCGCUGUAACACAGUUGCUUCUUCAGGGCUGAUCUCUGCCAGCCGUUCUUAAAAACAAACAACACACACACAUACACACAAACAGAACCCCCCAAACUGGGAGCUUGUUAUAUUAACCAAAGCAAAGCCUCCUGAGCUUCUCUUUGCCAAGGAAAGGGUGGCAGAUGAAAACCUGAGUCAUUCCCGGGAGAAGCAGCAGCAGAAACCAGUGCAGAAUUGGUCUUCUACUUCCGGUCUGGACAAGAUGGCAUAGACUCAUUUCUCCUUGCUCCUCCCAGCUACAUAUAAUUAUGAAUCCUAGAAAUAAUUCAAGAGGCAACCAAAGGAGAAUUCUAAAAGAUGUAAAGAGGACGGCAGAAUGGUUAGGAAUUCCAGGACUGGAGGAACACUAUGGUAGCCUUAUGACUUACUACCCAACAGAAGAAGGCAAGCCAGGCCCAGCAUUUCCCAGCUCCCAACCUAGCAACAGUGGCUCAGAUAGACUCCUUCUCCCUCUGGUUUGAAUGGGAGUCCUGCUGACAACACCAAGUGAGCAUGGCAACUCCAGCAAAGGGAGUCUAACAGGGAGCCCCCCUGACAAUAAGCAGCCAGGGGAAGUGCUUUCCUUUCCCACCAGGCCAGAGACUCCCCUACCCCACCAAAAGAUACUGUGCAACCAGGGCACCAUCAAGAGGAAAUCCCACUACAACAAGCAGUCUGGCUCAGGAAGCCUUUGUCCCCAUGGUCUUAAGGAUCCCCUCUCCCCAAAAGAGAUACCAGGAGGGCAUACAGCACUGGCAAGUGGGGGGCGGGGGUUCCACCAGAGUAAGCAAAGCCAGGGAAGAUUUGUUGUUUCCACAGACUUUCACUCACUUCCUCCACCUGGAGACAUCAGGCAACGCAGCCUGGUGAAGCACCUUCUGCUCCCUCAGGCAACACCAGCAGGGACCAGUGAGGGCCCCAUCAGCACCACAUUAACCAGUCAGACCAAAACGGCACCACAGAGGCUCUGAAAAGUAAAUCGUCAUUGAAAUCACAGCCUACAAAAGGUAGGCUAGGACUUGUGUGCUAAACCUAAACAUUGACUGCCUGCUAAAAUAAAAGAUUUAAAUAGUCUCCUAACAUAGCAGCCGAAAUGUCCAGAAUACAAUGAAAAAUCACCCAUCAUACCAAGAACCAGAAAAUCACAACUUGAAUGAGAAAAGACAAUCAACUGACAUCAAUACCAAGAUGAAUCAGAUGUUAGAAUUAUCUGACAAGGAUUUUAAUGCAGCGUCACAAAAAUGCUUCAAUAAGCAAUUGCAACAUCUCUUGAAACAAAUGAAAAACAUAGAAAAUCUGAGCAAAGGAAAAACAAGUUAUACAAAAGAACCAAAAAGAAAUUAUAGAACUGAAGAAUACAAUAAUAGAAAUUCAAAACUUGCUAUAUAGGCUCAGUAGUAUAGUGGAGAUGACAGAUGAUAGAAUCAGUGAGCUUGAGGAUAAACCAAUAGAACUUACUCAAUGUGAGCAGCAGAGAGAAAAUAGACUGGAAAAAAAUAGAGCCUCAGAAACCUGUGGGAAAUAACAAAAGAUCCAACGUUCAUAUCAGAGUCCCAGAAAGACACCAAAACCAGACAAGGGCAGUGCAGAAAAGGGAGAAAACUAUAGACAAGUAUCUCAUGAACUUAGAAAAAUCUUCAACAAAACAUUAGCAAAAUGAAACCAACAAUGUAUAAAAGAAUUAUACACCAUGACCAAGUGGGAUUUAUUCAAGGUAUGCAAGCCUGGUUCAAUAUUUUAAAGAGCAGUCAAGAUAGUCUGCCAUAUCAAAAGACUAAACAAAACUCAUAUGCCCAUAUCAAUUGGCACAGAAAAACACAUUUGAUGAAAUUCAACAUUUAUUCGUGAUAAAAACUCUCGGUACACUAGAAAUUAGAGGGGAACUUCCUUAACCAUGUAAAGAACAUCUACAAAAAACAUACAGCUAACAUUAUACUUAAUGGUGAAAGACUGAAUGCUUUCGCUCUUAAGAUUGGAACAAGGCAAGCACGUCUGCUCUUAUCACUUCUGUUCAACAUUGUACUGGAAGUUGUAGACAGUGUAACAAGGCAAGAAAAAGAAAUUUUAAAACAUACAGAUUAGAAAGAACAAAGUAAAACUGUCUCUAUUUGCAGAAAACUUGAUCAUCUGCAUACAAAAUCACAAGAAAUCGUUAAAAAAAAAAACCCUUCUAGAACUAAUAAUGGAAUUCAGCAAGGCCGUAUGAUACAAGAGCAGCACACAAAAAUCCAUUACAUUUCUAUAUAGUAACUGGAAAUCUAAAAAAAACAAUAACACCUUUUAUAAGUGCUCCAAAGAAAAUGAAAUAUUUAGGUAUAAACUUAACAAAACAGGUACAGGAUUUGUAUGCUGAAAAUUACAAAACACCGAUGAAAGAACUUAAGACGUUAGUAAUUUGAGAGACUGACCGUGUUCAUAGAUUGGAAUACUCAAUCAACAUACUAAGAUGUCAGUUCUCCCCAAGUUGAUUUAUAGGUUAAUGAAAUCUCUAUCAAAACCCAAGCAAGGAUUUUUGUAGAUAUAGAUAGGCAUAUUAUAAAAUUUCUGUGGAGGGAGUUCCCUGGUGGCCUAGUGGUUAGGAUCCUGGGCUUUCACUGCUAUGGCCCGGGUUCAUCCCUGGUCGGGGAACUGAGAUCCCGCAAGCCACUUGGUAUAGCUCCCCGCAGCCGCCCCCCCGCCCCGCCAAUUUUUUUAUAUGGAAAGGCAAAGGACCUAGAGUAGUUAAAAUGAUUUUUAUAAAGAAUAAACUUUUUAAAAGAAUAAACCAGUAUAAAGGCUUACUAUAUAGCGACAGUAAUCAAGCUAGUAUGAUAGUAGUGGAAGGGAGACACACAGAUAAAUGGAACAGAAUAGAGAACCCAGAAAUAAACUCACACAAAUUUGUUCAAUUGAUUUUUGACAAAGGUGUAAAAGCAGUUCAGUGGAGGAAGGGUAGCCUUUUCAACAGAUAGUGCAGGAGCAAUUGACAUCCAUAGGCAAAAUAAGUGAACGUUGACCUAAACAUCACACCACAUACAAAGAUUACCUCAAAAUGGAUCACAGAUUUAAAGUGUAAAACUAUAAAACUUGGGCCUUCCCUGGUGGCGCAGUGGUUGAGAGUCCGCCUGCCGAUGCAGGGGACGCGGGUUCGUGCCCCGGUCCGGGAGGAUCCCACAUGCCGCGGAGCGGCUGGGCCCGUGAGCCAUGGCCGCUGGGCCUGCGCGUCCGGAGCCUGUGCUCCGCAACGGGAGAGGGCCACAGCGGUGAGAGGCCCGCGUACCGCAAAAAAAAAAAAAAAAAAAAAAAACUAUAAAACUUGUAGAUAAAAAGCCCACAGGAGAAAGUCUUCAUGGUCUAGGGCUCAGCAAAGUGUUCUUAGGCUUGACACCAUAAGCGUGAUCCAUAAAAGGAAAAACUAUUAUUUGGAUUUCAUCAAAAUUACGAAGUUUUGUUCUAUGAAAGAUCCUAUUAAUAUGAGCUACAGAAUGGAGAAAAUAUUUGCAAACUACAUAUCUGAGAAAAGAUUUUUAUCUAGAAUACAUAAAGAACUCUGGUAACUCAAACAAUUCUGUUAGAAAAUGGGCAGAAGAUAUGAACAGACAUUUCACUAAAGAGGAUAUACAGAUGGCAAAUAACACAUGAAAGGAUGUUCAACACCGUAAGUCAUCAGGAAAGUGCAAAUCAAAACCACAGUGAGGUAUUACUACACACCUCUCAGAAUAGCUAAAAUAAAAAAUAGUGACACCAAAUGCUGGUGAGGAUGCAGAGAAACUGAAUCACUCAUACAUGUAUUCUUCAACAGAUUAAAGGUUAAAUAAACUGUAGGACAUCCGUGCCAUGGAAUACUACUCAGCAAUAAAAAGAAAUAGGGUAUCGGUUCAUGUAAUAACUUGAAUAAAUCUCCCAGGAAUCCUCCUGAGUGAGAAAAAGCCAGUCUUACAAGGUUACAUACUAUAUGAUUAUUUAUAUAAUACUAUUGAAAUGACAAAAAACAUAGCGAUGGGGAGCAGGUUAGGGGGUGCCGGGGGUUAGGGAAUGGGGCAGAUGGAAGGUGAGUGUGGCUGCAGAGGAAGAAUCCUUUUGAUGAUAGUACAGUUCUGAUCGUGUCGGUGGAUACGUGAACCUACACGUGCGAUCAAAUUGCAUACGACUAAAUACACAGACACAUACAAACAAAUGUUUACAAGUAAAUCCGGGGAAAUCUGGGCAAGAUCAACGGUUCACAGCAGUGUCAAUACCUUGAUUGUGGUAUUAUACUACGGUUUGACAAGAUGUUACCCCUUCGGGAAACUGGAUUAAAGAGUAUGUGGUAUCUCGCUGCAUUACUUCUUACGAUGGCAUGUGACUCUACGAUGAUCUCAGAAUAAAAAGUUCAAUUAAAAAAAAGAUGAAGACAAAAAAUUGAGCCCUUGAACAUUUUGCCAGAAGCUGGGCUAAGGAAUCUGGCUCGUUGCGCGGGCACGGAACUAGUUGGCCAUCUGGCUACAGACUAGAUAGUUGUAAAGAACAGUGACUCCCCCAAACUGGGGAUGCAGCCCCUUCGGGAGCCUCUGAUAAUCCAAACAGGUAUUGUUCACCUUCUGGAAAUUCUCAGUAACCAAAUUUAAUUGCAAAUCACUUCCAUGAAAAAGCAAGCGUUUGCUAUAUGUCUUCAUAUCAGAGGGCCGCACUAGGAAAUCAAAAUAGGGUAUCUCCAACCUGUCCCCACCCUAGCCCUUCUAAAAUAGGAAUCACUGGCCUGGUCAUUGUUCAUGGAGCCAAUAUGGGAGGCCUGAAUGGGCCUGUUAACUCUGUAUGGUGAACAGUCGCCACCCCUAACCCUGGUCAGUCAGCCAGCGGGCUCAGACCACAAGAGGAACUCUGAGGGGGAACGAGAAGCUGUGGAUGAUGGGCUGCAAACCCCAUUCCAUUGCUCGGCCAGCGCCUCCAAACAUAUGCUCCGCCGCCUUCUUAGAUUCAACACCUUCCUUAGGAGGAGCUCAGAGGGUUUUUAUGAUCUUUUCCGAAGAGCCCUUUUCAUGCCUGUUCUUCAGACCUGGAGCAUCUUGAACUUACCACUUGAUUUUACAGAGGCGAAACUCGACUUCACAGAGGACUAAGCAAACAAUGGGGAAAGUGCAUUUUCCCUUAAUAUUAGUCUUUAAGUUAAUAUAUAGAAAAAUUGAUUUUAUUGGUAAUACAGUUCUAUGAAUUUUAACGCAUGUAUAGUUUCAUGUAGUCACCGCUACAGUCAGGAUACAUUCCCCCAAACUCCCUUCGCAGUUACACACACAACCCCCACCCCAAAACCCUAGCAACCACUGAUGUGUUCUCCAUCACUGUAGUUUGGUCUUUUUGAGAAAGUUAUAGAAAUGGAAUCAUACAGUAGGUAACUUGGAAACUGGCUUCUCUCACUCAGCAUCACGUCUUUGGGAUUCAUCACAUUGUUGUAUCUCUCAGCAGUUCACUUUAAGAUCCCUUUUUACUUAAGAAUUGCUCUCCAAUUUUGUUGAUUAGCUCUCUAAGCAGGCUUUGUAACAGUGCAGCAACAGUGCAAUCUGUGUGCAGUGAAAUCACCUUUGGUCAAAUGACUGACAGUUAUUAACGUUUCUC